GAAACAGGCUGCUUUGCGUCCAAGCCUUGCGCUGGGACCUCAGUCUGUGCAAAGUGGAUAUCCUGUCCUACCCGCCACCAACCUGCUCCCCAUCCUGCAGGAACGUGGGUACUGCUUGGAGGACAAGACAGGUGUGAAAAGGGAUUGAGAAUCUAGAUGGAAGAGACCUCAGUAGUUCAGCCCUGAGUCACACGGGCCUUCCUCCACAAUGUGGCCAAUUCACCCACUCCUCGCCACCCAACCGCUGACACAGCAGAAUAUUGUCCUGAAGCGUGCCGUGUGUAUGGACAGUAUCGGACCAGUUGCACCAAAUGCGGUUUGGAACACCUGAGUCCUGCAGCAGCAGCUGAUGGUAACAGCCACAUCUUCUACAAAUCAGCCUGGAGCUGAUGGAAAUGCAGGGCUUGGUGGUGAUGGUCCAGCUUUGUGAACACAUGAGCAUAUUGCAGUGGAGAAGCAAAAAGAGGGUUUGAGAGUUCAGGGAAGAAGUUGCCUGUGAAACUACUCAGCUAUGGCGUUGGGCCACCAUCUAUGGGCAGGAUAAUUCCGAAGGCGGAACCAAGAGCCUAGAGAGUGGAGCCAAGAGUCCUGAAGAAUCUUUCCCAAGCCUUGAAUUCUGAUCAACAUACUACCAGCACAUUCUCUACUGGAUCUCAAGUUCUCUGGGUAGCAGUGAUUCCCAUUCCUCUACCACCAUUCCCCCUCCUUUUUGUUGUGGGGAGAGUGUCUAUAAUGUUAUCCUUACCUAUGUUGUAAUGCCCUAUUCUUGUGUUUUGGAGAUAAGGGGUCAGACAACUUAUAUUUAAAAUUUGUCAUUUAUUUAUUUAUUUAUAAUUUUUCCGCAUGGAGCCUGCUUCACCCUCUGCCUGUGUCUCUGCCUCUCUCUCUGG